rnacentral:rRNA from 1 species
UUUGAUCCUGGCUCAGACUGAACGCUUUAUGGAUGCUUUGGCGACAAGUCGAACGGCAGCACGGACUCGGUCCGGUGGCGAGCGGCGAACGGGCAGAGCAAUGUAACGGAACGCCUAGUAGCGGGGAUAACUACGCGAAAGCGUAGCUACUACAUCGCCCUUCGGGGAAAGCGGGGACCUUCGGGCCUCGCGCACUGCUAGGAGCGGCCGAUAUCGGAUUAGCUAGUUGGUGGGGCAAUGCUUCACCAGCGUGACGAUCCGUAGCUGUUUGAGAGACGACCAGCCACACUGGACUGAGACACGCCAGACUCCUACGGGAGGCAGCAGUGGGAAUUUUGGACAAUGGGGAAACCCUGAUCCAGCCAUCCCGCGUGCGAUGGAAGGCCUCGUCAUAAAGCACUUUUGGCAGGAAAGAAACGGCACGGAUAAUAAUUCCGUGCAACUGACGGUAAAAUUGCAGAAUAAGCACCGGCUACACGCCAGCAGCCGCGGUAAUACGUAGGGCAAGCGUUAAUCGGAAUUAUCGGGGCGUAAAAGCGUGCGCAGGCGGUUCGGAAAGAAAGAUGUGAAAUCCCAGAGCUUAACUUUGGAACUGUAUUUUUAACUGAGCUAGAGCGUGUCAGAGGGGAGGCGGAAUUCCGGCGUAGCAGUGAAUGCGUAGAUAUGAGGAACACCGAUGGCGAAGGCAGCCUUCCUGGGAUAACACUGACGCUCAUGCAGAACAGAAAGCGUGGGGAGCAAACAGGAUUAGAUACCCUGGGUAGUCCACGCGCCUCAAACACGUCAAUCCGCUGUUGGGGCCUCUGGCCCGGUAGCGCAGCUAACGCAGUUGACCGCCUGGGGAGUACGGUCGCAAGAUUAAAACUCAAAGGAAUUGACGGGACCGCAUACGGGUGGAUGAUGUGGAUUAAUCGAUGCAAACGAAAAACCUUUACCUACCCUUGACAUAUGUCUGGAAUCCCGAAGAGAUUUGGGGAAAGCCGCAAAGAGAACCGGCACACAGGUGCCGUAUGGCUGUCACCGCUCGUGUCGUGAGAUGUUGGGUUAUCCCGCAACGAGCAACUCUUGUCAUUAGUUGCUGAAAGGGCACUCUAAUGAGAUCGCUGGUGACAAACCGGAGGAAGGUGGGGAUGACGUUAAGUCCUCAUGGCCCUUAUGGGUAGGGCUUCACACGUCAUGCACACGGUCGGGACAGAGGGUCGCCAAACCUGCGAGGGGAGCCAAUCCCAGAAACCCGAUCAGCCCGAUCGCAGUCUGCAACUCGACUGCGUGAAGUCGGAAUCGCCAGUAAUCGUGGAUCAGCAUGCUGCGGUGAAUACGUUCCCGGGUCUUGUGCACACCGCCUGUCACACCAUGGGCGAUGGGCUGGUCUUACCAGAAGUAGUUAGCCAACCGUAAGGAGGGCGAUUACCACGGUAGGAUUCAUGAUCGUGGUAGAAGUCGUAACAAGGGGGCA